GGGUGGAUCUGCCCUCGCACUUCGUGAUAAGCCUGGGAAACUGGGUCUAAUACCGGAUAUGACGAUGGUUUGGAUGCCAUUGUGGAAAGUUUUUUCGGUGUGGGAUGAGCUCGCGGCCUAUCAGCUUGUUGGUGGGGUAAUGGCCUACCAAGGCGUCGACGGGUAGCCGGCCUGAGAGGGUGUACGGCCACAUUGGGACUGAGAUACGGCCCAG
rnacentral:rRNA from 1 species